CGUGAAAAGACUGAAAUCGAUUCUGCGUGCUGUGAGUGACCCACGAAAAUCUCUCCGUCUUGCUGCAAUUUAGCAUUUGAGAAACGUGGAAGCUUAGGGCUUGAAGAUCUGGCCUAUAAUCAUGCCAUUGACUUCCAAAUGAGAAAUGAGACUGGAUUCAAAGCGAUACCAGAGUCAGCGGAUUGAAAUGGGGAGUUCAUAAAUCUAGGAGGAAGAAC